UACGGAGGGAGCUAGCGUUGUUCGGAUAUACUGGGCGUAAAGCGCACGUAGGCGGCGCAGCAAGUCAGGGGUGAAAUCCCGGAGCUCAACUCCGGAACUGCCUUUGAAACUGCAGUGCUAGAAUCCUGGAGAGGCGAGUGGAAUUCCGAGUGUAGAGGUGAAAUUCGUAGAUAUUCGGAAGAACACCAGUGGCGAAGGCGACUCGCUGGACAGGUAUUGACGCUGAGGUGCGAAAGCGUGGGGAGCAACAGG
rnacentral:rRNA from 1 species